rnacentral:rRNA from 1 species
AAUCCGGUUGAUCCUGCCGGACCNCCACUGCUAUCGGGAUAGGACUAAGACAUGCUAGUUGAGCGCUUCCAGCCAAAACGGGAGCGCACGACAGCUCAGUAACACGUGGCUAAUCUGCCCUUGGGACCGGAACACCCCCGGGAAACUGGGGCUAAUUCUCGAUAGGUGAAGAACUCUGGAAUGANGUCUUUGCCAAAAAGACGUUUACGUUAUGCUCGUAGACGUCGCCCAAGGAUGAGGCCGCGACUGAUCAGGUUGUUGGCGGGGAAAAGGCCCACCAAGCCUUUAACCAGUACGGGCCAUGAUAGUGGCAGCCCGGAGAUGGGCACUGAGAUAAGGGCCCAGGCCUUACGGGGCGGCAGAGGCGCGAAAACUUCGCAAUACACGAAAGUGUGACAGGGCUAUCCCGAGUGCCAUCCGCUGAGGAAGGCUUUUACCCAGUCUAGAACGCCGGGGGAAUAAGCGGGGGG